rnacentral:rRNA from 2 species
UAGGGAAUCUUCCGCAAUGGACGCAAGUCUGACGGAGCAACGCCGCGUGAGUGAAGAAGGUUUUCGGAUCGUAAAACUCUGUUGUUAGAGAAGAACAAGUGCUAGAGUAACUGUUAGCGCCUUGACGGUAUCUAACCAGAAAGCCACGGCUAACUACGUGCCAGCAGCCGCGGUAAUACGUAGGUGGCAAGCGUUGUCCGGAUUUAUUGGGCGUAAAGCGAGCGCAGGCGGUUCCUUAAGUCUGAUGUGAAAGCCCCCGGCUCAACCGGGGAGGGUCAUUGGAAACUGGGGAACUUGAGUGCAGAAGAGGAGAGUGGAAUUCCAUGUGUAGCGGUGAAAUGCGUAGAUAUAUGGAGGAACACCAGUGGCGAAGGCGACUCUCUGGUCUGUAACUGACGCUGAGGCUCGAAAGCGUGGGUAGCAAACA